CCUACGGGAGGCAGCAGUGGGGAAUAUUGGACAAUGGGGGGAACCCUGAUCCAGCCAUGCCGCGUGUGUGAAGAAGGCCCUCGGGUUGUAAAGCACUUUCAGUGAGGAAGAACGCCUGGUGGUUAAUACCCAUCAGGAAAGACAUCACUCACAGAAGAAGCACCGGCUAACUCCGUGCCAGCAGCCGCGGUAAUACGGAGGGUGCGAGUGUUAAUCGGAAUUACUGGGCGUAAAGCGCGCGUAGGUGGCUUGAUAAGCCGGUUGUGAAAGCCCCGGGCUCAACCUGGGAACGGCAUCCGGAACUGUCAAGCUAGAGUGCAGGAGAGGAAGGUAGAAUUCCCGGUGUAGCGGUGAAAUGCGUAGAGAUCGGGAGGAAUACCAGUGGCGAAGGCGGCCUUCUGGACUGACACUGACACUGAGGUGCGAAAGCGUGGGUAGCAAACAGGAUUAGAUACCCGAGUAGUC
rnacentral:rRNA from 1 species